AGUGAACGCUGGCGGUAGGCCUAACACAUGCAAGUCGAACGGCAGCACAGUAAGAGCUUGCUCUUACGGGUGGCGAGUGGCGGACGGGUGAGGAAUACAUCGGAAUCUACUUUUUCGGGGGGGAUAACGUAGGGAAACUUACGCUAAUACCGCAUACGACCUACGGGUGAAAGCAGGGGAACUUCGGACCUUGCGCGAAUGAAUGAGCCGAUGUCGGAUUAGCUAGUUGGCGGGGUAAAGGCCCACCAAGGCGACGAUCCGUAGCUGGUCUGAGAGGAUGGUCAGCCACACUGGAACUGAGACACGGUCCAGACUCCUACGGGAGGCAGCAGUGGGGAAUAUUGGACAAUGGGCGCAAGCCUGAUCCAGCCAUACCGCGUGGGUGAAGAAGGCCUUCGGGUUGUAAAGCCCUUUUGUUGGGAAAGAAAAGCAGCAGGUUAAUACCCCGCUGUUCUGACGGUACCCAAAGAAUAAGCACCGGCUAACUUCGUG
rnacentral:rRNA from 1 species